CUGAGAAAUUUAACCAACUCAUUUUGUGGACAGCAUAAGUGUUAUCUAGUCGCUACAUGUGAUAGAGACUUGAAGCAAAGGAUUCGCAAGAUCCCGGGUGUGCCUAUUAUGUAUAUCACUCAACAUAAGUAUUCGAUCGAGUGCUUGCCUGAAGCAGCUAUUGGUGGAGCUCCAAGAUUUUGAUACUAGACACAGUCAGCAAUAGGAACACCAUUAAAGAAACCUGCUAUAUUUCAAGGUUGCCUGAUCCUUUCAACUUUUGAAAUUUUACGUCACUGAAAUGUAUGCAUUAUAUCAUGGAUAUUCUUUUUCCUUCUCUAGUGUAGUUGAUAUCUGUUUAAUGUUUA